rnacentral:rRNA from 1 species
GUGCACCAGUCGAGAAUUUUUCUCAAUGGGGGAAACCCUGAAGGAGCGACGCCGCGUGGAGGAUGAAGGUCUUCGGAUUGUAAACUCCUGUCAUUAGGGAACAAGUGCCGCUGGUCAACUGCCGGCGGCUUGAUAGUACCUGAAGAGGAAGAGACGGCUAACUCUGUGCCAGCAGCCGCGGUAAUACAGAGGUCUCAAGCGUUGUUCGGAUUCAUUGGGCGUAAAGGGUGCGUAGGCGGCGGGGCAAGUCAGGUGUGAAAUCUCGGGGCUCAACCCCGAAACUGCAUUUGAUACUGCCUUGCUAGAGUACUGGAGAGGAGAUUGGAAUUUACGGUGUAGCAGUGAAAUGCGUAGAUAUCGUAAGGAAGACCAGUGGCGAAGGCGAAUCUCUGGACAGUUACUGACGCUGAGGCACGAAGGCCAGGGGAGCAAACGGGAUUAGAUACCCGUGUAGU